rnacentral:snRNA from 1 species
GGAUGUGAGAGUGAUCUGGCUGUGACAACUGUCACUCCAUUGAUCACCAGGGUUGAUUCAGCUUAUCUCGCUGGCUAGGCUGGUAUAACCUUCCUUCCUCUUAAAGCUGUGUGCUCGGUCAGAGGGCAACUUUCCCUGAACAAAGGGGGACCGGUCUUCAGUCAAGGGUAUACAAGCAGCUGCACUCCCCUGCUAGAACUUCCAAAGAAGCUCUCAAAACUCACCCAUGAGGCACAGGGACAGGUCUUUUACCCAAUCUUAAAGCAACUAGAGACUCUAAGUCUCCUUACUUCUUU